GUACUACUCCCUCCGUCCGGAAAUACUUGUCAUCAAAAUAGAUAAAAAGAGAUGCAUCUAGACGUAUUUUAGUUCUAGAUACAUCCUUUUUCAUCCAUUUUGAUGACAAGUAUUUUCGGACGGAGGAAGUAACUG
rfam:Triticum urartu cultivar G1812 contig653325, whole genome shotgun sequence.